AACGAACGCUGGCGGCGCGUCUUAAGCAUGCAAGUCGAACGGCAAGAGAGGAGCUUGCUUCUCUCCUAGAGUGGCGGACUGGUGAGGAACACGUGGGUAAUCUACCCUUAAGAUGGGGAUAGCUGCUAGAAAUAGCAGGUAAUACCGAAUACACUCGGCAUAUCACAAGAGGUGUUGAGGAAAGGAAGCUACGGCUUCGCUUGAGGAUGAGCUUGCGUCCCAUUAGCUAGUUGGUGAGGUAAAGGCCCACCAAGGCGACGAUGGGUAUCCGGCCUGAGAGGGUGGACGGACACAUUGGGACUGAGAUACGGCCCAAACUCCUACGGGAGGCAGCAGCUAAGAAUAUUCCGCAAUGGACGGAAGUCUGACGGAGCGACGCCGCGUGGAUGAAGAAGGCUGAAAAGUUGUAAAAUCCUUUUGUUGAUGAAGAAUAAGGGUGAGAGGGAAUGCUCAUCUGAUGACGGUAAUCGACGAAUAAGCCCCGGCUAAGUACGUG
rnacentral:rRNA from 1 species